GCCUUCCUGGUGUAGUGGUCAGCACGCUCGAUGCGUAACCGAGAGGUCCGUGGUUCGAUUCCCGGCGAAGGCG
rfam:Stegodyphus mimosarum contig85444, whole genome shotgun sequence.